AUGAGCGUUUUAUACCGCUGGCGAGUAAAAUUUAGGGGAGGAGGAUUUUUUUCCUCAGACCCCAUCGAUAUCCUGAACAUAAAACUUAAGAGGUUUAAGACCUAUUUUAAGGGCUGGGCUUAGGACAAAUUUGGGCAUAAUAAAAAGAUCAAAAAAUAGCUUAGGUUGGAGCUAGCUGAGUUGGAGGAGUUAGAGGAGCUUGGACCUCUGUUGCCAGAGAUGUAUAGCAGAAAGAUAGAUGUUUGCUUUGAGCUCCAUGAGCUGUUGGUCAAUGAGGAGAUUUUCUGGCUCCAACAGUCUCAUGAGUGUUGGCUUUUGAAAGGAGAUUUAAAUACUGACUACUUUCACAAGAUAGCUAAUGGUCGCAAACGCAAAAACACCAUCCAUUCUCUGAAAGCUGGAGAGGUGGAGAUAAUUGGUACGGAUAACUUGAUUGCCCAUGCCACGGAUUAUUAUAAGAAUCUGUUCGGUCCAGCACCAGGUAAUUAGUUUCACUUGGAUCAUGAUACCUGGUCGGUUGAUGAAAAGCUAAAUGAGGAGGAUAAUAAGGACUUAUGUCGUGAAUUCACAGAGGAAGAGGUGAGAGAAACCCUAUUUUCCAUGGCCCCCAACAGAGCUCCGGGACCAGACAAUAUUCUUGUGGAGUUUUAUCAAGCCUGUUGGGAUAUAGUGAAAGGGGAUAUCAUGUCUCUCUUUAAGCACUUCCAUGAUGGGACGCUAGAUGUUCAACGUCUCAAUUAUGGGGUGAUCACUCUUCUGCCUAAGGUUUCUGGG
rnacentral:rRNA from 1 species